rnacentral:lncRNA from 10 species
AUGGUGCGUCCCGCCGCAGGGCGUACGGACAAAGAGGGAGGCGCUCAAGUCUUCCAAUGCGGGGAAAAGAGACUAGGGCUCGCCCCUCGGCGUCUGGCGGAAGGCCCAGGACAGCCGUACCUCUGUGGUUCAAAACACCCAAAGCCGAGAUUCAGAGGUACUACAAAUCCCAUAAAGUGUUGCACGUCUAGGGCCUUUGGAGAACGAGGUCGGCCCCGGCGCAGGCGCGGUGGCGCGAGUUGGACCGUGAAAAAAGAAACAUGGCGGCCGCGGCGUUUACUUCGAAAUUGUACUCCCUGCUGUUUCGCAGGAACUCCACCUUCGCCCUCACCAUCGUCGUGGGCGUCGUAUUCUUCGAGCGCGCCUUCGAUCAAGGCGCGGACGCGAUCUACGACCACAUCAACGAGGGGGAGAUGCAGCGGGGUGCCACAUGCCUGGUAGGUGGCACCACUGAAAAGUAAUCACUGCUUACAUUCCUCAGGAGAAAGUGGAAGCAUGAGGUAGGAAUGGCAACACAUUUUUGACUUUUAUGUAUCACGCACUGUGCUAGGUGCAGUGCAUGCUUUAUAUCGCUAAAUUAUGGCUGUAUUGGAGUAGGCCUUAUACAUCUAGCCCUGUUCCACCACUCACUUGUUUUUAAUUUGAGACUGACUCUGCAGCCUGGGAAGGCACUGUCCACUAGUGCUAUGCUGCCUGUGACCAGUGCAACUUCCUGCCCACAUGAAAGCAUUGCCACUGUACCGUCUCUUGCAGUUGCUUCUGCUGACCACUCCCACUGAUCUGGAGAGACAUCCAAGCAUGUUGUUAUAACUCACCCAUUUUCCCUGUGCUUUUUUUUUUCUUUUUUGAGACAGGGUCUCACUCUGUCGCCCAGGUUGGAGUGCAGUGGCAUGAUCACAGCUCACUGCAGCCUUGACCUCCUGGGUUCAAGUGAUCCUCCCACCUCAGCCUCCUGAGUAGCUGGGACCACAGGCAAGUGCCACCACACCCAGCUAAUUUUUGUAUUUUUCGUAGAGAUGGCGUUUCACCAUGUUGCCCAGGCUGGUCUCGAAUUCCUGAGCUCAGUCUGUCCUCCUGCCUUAGUCUCCUAAAGUGCUGGGAUUACAAAUGUGAGCCACUGUGCUCAACCUCUUGUGCUUUUGGGAAUGAGAAUUUUGGCCAAUUUAGGUCCCAGGAAAUGUUUUAAAUGGCUCAUGGUGAAAUAUUUUGGGACUACACACUUACAACCUCUUCAGUAAUACCUGGGAGUUAAAGAACUGAGACAUCUUCCAGGCUGUUUUCCUUAAUAAUUGUGUGUUUUGGGGCACUUCCCUCGAUCUCAACCUGAAUUUCCUAUAAAAUUAAAAUCACCCCUUUCUACUUCACCUGGUGAUUGAAAGCAUCAUAGUAUUUUAUAAAUGCCAAGAAUUAUGCAUGAAGGCUCAGCACGGUGGCUCACGCCUGUCAUCUCAGCGCUUUGGGAGGCUGAAGCGGACCUCACUUGAGGUCAGGAGUUUGAGACCAGCUUAGCCAACAUGGCGAAACCCCAUCUCUACUAAAAAUACAGAAAGUAGCCGGGUAGCGCACACCUGUAUUCCUAGCUGCUCGUGAAACUGAGGCAGGACAAUCGCUUGAACCCAGGAGGCUGAGGUUGCAGUGAGCUGAGAUUG